rnacentral:rRNA from 1 species
UCAAGUGACAGACGGCCAGUGGGGGAUGCCUGGGGACACGGAGGCGAGGAAGGGCGCGGUAAGCGGCGAUACGCCGGGGGGAGCGGCACACACGCAUUGAGCCCCGGAUGCCCGAAUGGGGAAACCCGGCCAGGGGCAGCCCUGGUCAUCACGCUGUGAGGCGUGAGGCGAACCCGGGGAACUGAAACAUCUCAGUACCCGGAGGAAGAGAAAUCAAGCGAGAUGCCCGGAGUAGCGGCGAGCGAAAGGGGCGGAGCCCAAACCGGGGUCUUGAUGGCUCCGGGGUUGUAGGCCCCACGGACGGUUGGCGCGAAGCGACGCGAAGUCCCCUGGAAAGGGGCGCCCGAGACGGUGAGAGCCCGGUAGCGGAACGCGAGGUGCGACGACUAGUGGUGUGCCUGAGUACUGCCCGGCACGAGGAACCGGGCGGGAAGUUGGGGGGACCACCCUCCAAGGCUAAAGACUCCCGUGUCACCGAUAGUGGACGAGUACCGUGAGGGACAGGUGAAAAGCACCCCCGUGCGGGGAGUGAAAGAGAGCCUGAAACCACUGGCCGACAAGCGGUAGGAGGCCGACUCCGGGCGACUGGAGGGCGGCUGACUGCGUGCCUUUUGCAUUAUGAUCCGGCGAGUUACGCCUCGCGCGCGGGGCUAAGGGUUUAGGGCCCGGAGCCAGAGCGAAAGCGAGUCCUGCAACCAGGGCGCGUGGAGUGCGCGGGGGUAGACCCGAAGCCAGGGCGAUCUACCCAUGAGCAGGCUGAAGCUGGGGUAACACCCAGUGGAGGGCCGCACCGGUAUGGGUUGAAAACCGUUCGGAUGACUUGUGGGUAGGGGUGAAAGGCCAAUCAAGCCUGGAGAUAGCUGGUUCUCCCCGAAAUCUAUUGAGGUAGAGCCUCGCGGCUGAGCGCCGCGCUUACGCGUGAGCGUCGUAUGUCCCCAGGGGGUAGAGCGACUGGAUGGGUGCGGGCCGGCGGAGCCGGUACCAAGCCCAACCAAACUCCGAAUACCUGAGGGAUGGACCGCGGGAGGCAGUCGCCGAGCGAUAAUGUCCGGCGGCGAGAGGGAAAGAACCCAGAGCCACAGCUAAGGCCCCGAAGUGGCCGCUGAGUAUAGCGAAGGAUGUGUCGCUACCGUGACAACCGGGAGGUUGGCUUAGAAGCAGCCAUGCCUUGAAAGAGUGCGUAAUAGCUCACCGGUCCAGUGGCGACGCGCCGAGAAUGGUCGGGAUUAAGCGGCCCGCCGAAGCUUGGCCUUCCGUCACGCACGGAGGGGUAGGGGAGCGUUGUCGGAGCGGGGAAGCCGCGGGGGGACCCUAGCGGUGGAGCGCCGACAAGUGAGGAUGCCGGACUGAGUACGCGCAAAUGCGGGUGAGAACCCCGCACACCGAAAGCCCAAGGGUUCCGGCGCCAUGGCAAUCAGCGCCGGGUGAGGCGGCCCCUAAGCCGAGGCCCCAGAGGCGUAGGCGAUGGGUAGCGGGCGAACAGUCCCGCCCCGCGUUCACACGUUGAACCCACCAGGGACACCGGAACGAAGCAGCCGCGGUCUUGUGGACUGACCGUCUAAGCCGGUAGGCGCGAGCCGAGAGGGGAUGGCGAGCUGCGUCUUCGGACGCGGCGAGGGCUGUGGAGUCGACGGGCGAGAAAAGCUGGUGGCGGAGUGUGAGGGCGACCGUACCGUAAACCGACACAGGUGGGCGAGGCGAGGAGCCUCAGGUGCACGAGUGAGACGUGGUCAAGGAACUCGGCAUAAUGAUCCCGUAACUUCGGAAGAAGGGAUGCAGGGCGUAGGUGACCCGGUUCGCCUGGGACAGCCGAACCCUGCCGCAGUGAAUCGGCUCAAGCGACUGUUUAGCAAAAACACAGGUGCGUGCCAAGCCGCGUAAGGCGCCGUAUACGCACUGACGCCUGCCCGGUGCCGGAAGGUUAAGGGGAGAGCUUAGGGGCAACCCGACGGCUUGAGCCGAAGCCCCGGUAAACGGCGGCCGUAACUAUAACGGUCCUAAGGUAGCGAAAUUCCUUGUCGGGUAAGUUCCGACCUGCACGAAUGGCGUAACGACUUGAGCACUGUCUCGACCACGCGCUCGGCGAAAUGGCAGUCUCGGUGAGGAUUCCGAGUUCCCGCGACAGGACAAAAAGACCCCAUGCACCUUUACUGCAGCUUGCCAUUGCUCGCUGCAUUCGGCUGUGUAGCAUAGGUGGGACCCGGUGAGCCCCAGGCGCCAGCUUGGGGGGAGGGGCCAGUGAAAUACCACCCUGCCGAAGGCGGCGCGCUCACCACGCUCGGGCAGACCCCGGCUGGGACCGUGGCUGGUGGGCAGUUUGACUGGGGCGGUCGCCUCCGAAAGCGUAACGGAGGCGCGCGACGGUUCCCUCAGCGCGGUCGGUACUCGCGCUUACAGAGUGUAACGGCAGAAGGGAGCCUGACGGCGAGAGCGACGGCUCGAGCCGGGACGAAAGUCGGCCGUAGUGAUCCGGUAGUGCCGCGUGGGCGGGCUAUCGCGCAACGGAUAAAAGGUACGCUGGGGAUAACAGGCUUAUCGCGCCCGAGAGUUCACAUCGACGGCGCGGUUUGGCACCUCGAUGUCGGCUUAUCACAUCCUGGGGCUGGAGAAGGUCCCAAGGGUCCGGCUGUUCGCCGGUUAAAGUGGUACAUGAGCUGGGUUCAGAACGUCGUGAGACAGUUCGGUCUGUAUCCGUCGUGGGCGCUGGAGCAUUGCGGGGCGCGGACCCUAGUACGAGAGGACCGGGUCGGACGAUCCGCUCGUGUCCCGGCUGUCGUGCCAACGGCACCGCCGGGUAGCGAUGAUCGGCACGGAUAACCGCUGAAAGCAUCUAAGUGGGAAGCCGUCCCCAAGAUGAAUGCUCCCAUGCCUCUCGAAGGCACUGAAGGGCCGGGGGAGACCACCCCGUCACGAGGCCGCCCGUGGACGUCUGGCGACAGACGCCGAGCGUAGCGGUCCUCAUCGCCCGUGCGGCUUGACCA